rnacentral:rRNA from 1 species
GAUGAACGCUGGCGGCGUGCCUAAUACAUGCAAGUCGAGCGAACAGACGAGGAGCUUGCUCCUCUGAUGUUAGCGGCGGACGGGUGAGUAACACGUGGAUAACCUACCUAUAAGACUGGGAUAACUUCGGGAAACCAGAGCUAAUACCGGAUAACAUGUUGAACCGCAUGGUUCAACAGUGAAAGACGGUCUUGCUGUCACUUAUAGAUGGAUCCGCGCCGCAUUAGCUAGUUGGUAAGGUAACGGCUUACCAAGGCAACGAUGCGUAGCCGACCUGAGAGGGUGAUCGGCCACACUGGAACUGAGACACGGUCCAGACUCCUACGGGAGGCAGCAGUAGGGAAUCUUCCGCAAUGGGCGAAAGCCUGACGGAGCAACGCCGCGUGAGUGAAGAAGGUCUUCGGAUCGUAAAACUCUGUUAUUAGGGAAGAACAAAUGUGUAAGUAACUAUGCACGUCUUGACGGUACCUAAUCAGAAAGCCACGGCUAACUACGUG